rnacentral:rRNA from 1 species
GGUGAGUAACACGUGGGCAAUCUGCCCUGCACUCUGGGACAAGCCCUGGAAACGGGGUCUAAUACCGGAUACUGACCUGCCAAGGCAUCUUGGCGGGUCGAAAGCUCCGGCGGUGCAGGAUGAGCCCGCGGCCUAUCAGCUUGUUGGUGAGGUAAUGGCUCACCAAGGCGACGACGGGUAGCCGGCCUGAGAGGGCGACCGGCCACACUGGGACUGAGACACGGCCCAGACUCCUACGGGAGGCAGCAGUGGGGAAUAUUGCACAAUGGGCGCAAGCCUGAUGCAGCGACGCCGCGUGAGGGAUGACGGCCUUCGGGUUGUAAACCUCUUUCAGCAGGGAAGAAGCGAAAGUGACGGUACCUGCAGAAGAAGCGCCGGCUAACUACGUGCCAGCAGCCGCGGUAAUACGUAGGGCGCAAGCGUUGUCCGGAAUUAUUGGGCGUAAAGAGCUCGUAGGCGGCUUGUCGCGUCGGUUGUGAAAGCCCGGGGCUUAACCCCGGGUCUGCAGUCGAUACGGGCAGGCUAGAGUUCGGUAGGGGAGAUCGGAAUUCCUGGUGUAGCGGUGAAAUGCGCAGAUAUCAGGAGGAACACCGGUGGCGAAGGCGGAUCUCUGGGCCGAUACUGACGCUGAGGAGCGAAAGCGUGGGGAGCGAACAGGAUUAGAUACCCUGGUAGUCCACGCCGUACACGGUGGGCACUAGGUGUGGGCAACAUUCCACGUUGUCCGUGCCGCAGCUAACGCAUUAAGUGCCCCGCCUGGGGAGUACGGCCGCAA